UGAAUACUGACGUGUGUGUGUGUGUGUGUGUGUGUGUGUAUUCAUCCUGUGGCGGUAAUUGUCUCUGUUGUUGCUCGGUUUUGCUGAUUGAGGAAUUGUGUGAAUCUAUUUGUGCUCUUUUUAGCGCUGUCACUCUGUGAUGGUGACAAAAGACCAGUGGGGCACAUUCAGAAAAUGAUCAACAUUAUUAAUCAUAUUCAGUUCAUACUUUGGCUGUACUUUCUGCAAGAAUGGAAUCAAUAUAGGAUGUGUUACAGGAAAUUCCUGUGGAAAUCAGGCAGGAGUAGAGAGGGGCUUGUGCAGUUAGAUGCUCUGCUGUGGGUGCAGGAGAUUCCACGUCUCUCAUUGGUGGAGGCGGAAAGAGGCGAGCAGCAACAGCGGCGACAGCAGCGACACACACCUGUCACUGUCACCGCGGCCAGGAGGGAGACGCCGUCUUUCACGCUCAGUAGACCUGACGUUCUGAGGUUUAAUCCACACCGGGGCUUAAUGAAGUCCCUCGUUCAGCGAGACGUGAAGGCAGGAAGGCUGAGCGCAUGUGGAAAAAGAAUCGGCUGCAGGUGUCUUCAGACAUUCUAAAGGAAAAAACUGAACAUGUACCAGGAAACCAAAAAUUCUUUCUAACAUAUAUCACAAGCCUGGAACUCUUUUCAGUACCAUCGAUGCGGCUCUUAAUGCCACUCAUGACAACUGUCUGGAAGCCUCCCUUGAUACUUGCAAAAUAUUUUUGAACUAUUUGGAACUAAUAGUGGACAAAGCUAAAAAUAUCAGAGCUCUAAUUACACCGCCUUCGAACUUCCCAUUUGCUGCAUCAUCUAUCAAAGUUCCUGGAAAACGUGGUCCUGUCCCAGAUCCAGUCCAAUUUGAAUAAUCACGAGAUCCUUGAACCUUAAAGGCCUCCAUAGCAUGGAGACUGCCCUGUUGAAGGUUUAUAAUGACCUUUUAUUAGCUGCUGAUUCUGGUGCUCAGAAGUUUUUCUGUCAGCAUUGGUGACUGUACAUCCUCCUGGUCUCCUGUUCACUGUGGGGUGCCCCAGGGCUCUGUACUUGGCCCUUUGCUGUUUUCUUUAUACACACUCCCACUAGGAACCAUUUUAAGAAAAAAUGAUAUUUCAUUCCAUUUUUAUGACAAUGUGGUGCAAAUCUACCUGCCCCUAAAACAGACACAUACCAGCUUUUUAAAUCCAAAGAAUGGAUGGCUUUGAACUUUUUUCAGGAAAGCAAAACAGAGGUUUUAAUUUUUAAGCCCAGUGCCACCAGCUAUUGCCCUAAAUUGGACUUUGGUUCCGUAGAAUCCUACUCUAAGUCCUCAGUACGGAACCUGGGUGUAAUCAUGGAUGGUGAUUUUAAAAUGGACCAGCAAAUAAAUUGUGUAGUCAAGUCAAGUUUUUAUCAUCUGAGACUUUGAGCUAAAGUUAAGACCUUUUUAUAUAUUAAUGAUUUUGAGAAGGCCAUACUAGACCAUAAAGUGCUCUAGAAAUAAAGUUGACCUCACUUGACAAUCACUUCACGUUCACCUUUUUCACUUUCACGGCACUUCUUGUGGUCAGUAAGGACGAGGAACAGAUGGGUUACCCCCCCCAGCCAGUGGCGCCACUGUUCCAGCAGUUCGCGGUUACCCACAUCCACUUUGUCCAAUCACUGAGAGAAAAAAACACAAGGGUGCAGUUUGUUGCCGUUGGGGUCACGCUGCAAAAGGACUGUCCCCACCCCUAGACCUUGACGAGGUUCGGAUGGAGGCUGAGGUGAAAUGAUGCUAGAGGUCCUCAAAAGCCCGCUGAGCCAAGUGUGUCCCCGGAGCAGGGACAUAGCCCUGGAUGAACCAAACUUUCAUCAGCACGUCACCUGCUCCACCAGGGGUGAAAGGACAUUGGACCAUUCUUACAACACAAUCAAUGAUGGUUACAGGGCACAAUCUCGUCCACUGUUUGGUAAAUCUGACCACACUGCCAUCUUCCUCAUGCCUAAAUACAAAGAACAGACUAAAACAGGAAGUUCCGGUUCAGAGAGAGGAAGGCAGCAGGACCAGACGGCAUCUCGGGGAGAAUCCUCAGAGCCUGAGCAGAUCAGCUAGCACCGGUGUUCACAGAGAUAUUCAGCCUCUCUCUAGCUCAGUCGGUGAUCCCCACAGGCUUCAAGGUGUCCAUCAUUGUUCCGGUCCCCAAGAAAACCCAUCCUGCCUCCCUCAACGACUACCGCCCUG
ensembl:lncRNA